CAUGGAUGUGCACGCUGAUCUUGGUCUGCACUGGUCGCAAAGUCAGAAUCACUUGUCGCCAGACGGCUAAAGGUUAAAGACUGCUGCUGUGAUAGUUAAUAAAAUCUUUAAGAAGAAAACAUUCGAACUUAUAUUCAUAGUUUAAAGUUGCAAAACAAAACAAUCGUGUUUUCCGAAAUAUUUCGAGGUAUAUUUAGCAAAAUUGAAAACACAGUUAUGGCUACGGCUUUUUCUUUUAAUAUUCUAGUUUCUCUGUUACAUCGACAAGGAUAUUCGAUGUCUUUCUUAACCUUUCUUUUGAUAAUGUUUUAAAGCAAACAGUUAAUCAACACCGACAAAGUGAGAAUCUGAACGAAUUUAUGACCCUUAAAUGAAAGAUUAAAUAAUUUAUUCACUUGCAUGCAGCUAACUACGAGAUCCUCACUAACAGUUUUACUACCAACCUUGUGAAAGACAGCACAUUUUCAUCGCAAAACCCGUACAACGUAGAACCAGACAGUGAUUACGAAUGGGCAAUUGACCAUGUGUUCUGCAAUGGAGACGCCAAAAUCCUUAAUACCAAAACUGCACUUAAAAACGACAAGAGGUUGCCGGGGCCACGGAAACUACCAUUGAGUGACCAUUAUGGAGUAAAGGCUGUUGUUAAAGUUAAAUACUAGCAGUGAUGAAUUAAACAGAUCAAAAGUUACAUACUGUAUAAUGUCAGCAGACGUAUGAUGUACGAAUAAGACAAAAUUAACACAGAUAUCAAUGCAAUAACUUGUUCAUGAAGUUUGUUUGUUUUUGCAAACAAUAAAAGAAAUAAGCAUU